rnacentral:rRNA from 1 species
UGACGGUACCUGACUAAGAAGCUCCGGCUAAAUACGUGCCAGCAGCCGCGGUAAUACGUAUGGAGCAAGCGUUAUCCGGAUUUACUGGGUGUAAAGGGAGCGUAGACGGAUGUGCAAGUCUGAUGUGAAAGGCUGCGGCUUAACUGCAGGACUGCAUUGGAAACUGUACAUCUGGAGUGCCGGAGAGGUAAGCGGAAUUCCUAGUGUAGCGGUGAAAUGCGUAGAUAUUAGGAGGAACACCAGUGGCGAAGGCGGCUUACUGGACGGUAACUGACGUUGAGGCUCGAAAGCGUGGGGGGCAAACAGGAUUAGAUACCCUG